UACAGAGGUCCCAAGCGUUACUGAGAAUCACUGGGUUUAAAGGGUGCGUAGGUGGUCCGUUAAGUCAGUUGUGAAAUCCCCGGGCUCAACCCGGGAACUGCUUCUGAUACUGGCGGACUUGAGGCCAGUAGGGGUCACUAGAACUGACGGUGGAGCGGUGAAAUGCGUAGAUAUCGUAAGGAAUGCCGGUGGUGAAGACGGGUGACUGGGCUGGUUCUGACACUGAGGCACGAAAGCGUGGGGAGCGAACGGG
rnacentral:rRNA from 1 species